CCGGGGGCUUGCGCCCCCGGCUCAGUUGUGUCGCCCCUUCGGGGCU
rnacentral:sRNA from 1 species